AAUUCCAGCUUCUGAAAAUGGGGUUCCCUGCUCAGCUCCUGGGGCUGCUAAUACUUUGCAUCCCAGGAUCCAGUGGGGACAUUGUGAUGACCCAGACUCCACCCACCCUGUCUGUCAUCCCUGGAGAGACUGCCUCCAUCUCCUGCAAGUCGAGUCAGAGCCUCGUACAUACUGAUGGAAACACCUAUCUGAAUUGGUUGCAACAGAAACCAGGCCAGGCUCCACAACGACUGAUCUAUAAGGUUUCUAACCGUGACUCUGGGGUCUCAGACAGAUUCAGCGGCAGUGGGUCAGGGACAGAUUUCACACUUAAAAUCAGCAGGGUGGAGGCUGAGGACGCUGCAGUUUAUUACUGUUAUCAAGGUACACAAACUCCUGCCACAGUGGUACAGCGCUGGACACAAACCUCCCUGCCUCGAGCUGCUCAGCUGCCCCAAGUGCACCUUCUCUAG